CAGUAGCCGCGGGAAUACGAAGGGGGCUAGCGUUGUUCGGAAUCACUGGGCGUAAAGGGUGCGUAGGCGGAUUUUUAAGUCAGGGGUGAAAUCCCGAGGCUCAACCUCGGAACUGCCUUUGAUACUGGGGAUCUUGAGUCCGGAAGAGGUGAGUGGAACUGCGAGUGUUGAGGUGAAAUUCGUAGAUAUUCGCAAGAACACCGGUGGCGAAGGCGGCUCACUGGUCCGGAACUGACGCUGAGGCACGACAGCGUUGGGAGCAAACAGGAUUAGAUACCCCCGUAGUCCCUGUCUCUUAUAC
rnacentral:rRNA from 1 species